rnacentral:ribozyme from 11 species
ACGAGAGAUGGAAAGUAACACAGAUGGAAAUAAUAAUGCCAUUCCCAAGUAAAACCCCAGUGAUCUCCUCUUCCACGAUGUUGUUUUUGUUGUUGUUUUUGUUGUUGUUUCGUCGUUUUUUCCUUCUGCUUUUUCU